rnacentral:rRNA from 1 species
UACGGAAGGCAGCAGUGGGGAAUAUUGCACAAUGGGCGAAAGCCUGAUGCAGCUAUGCCGCGUGUAUGAAGAAGGCCUUAGGGUUGUAAAGUACUUUCAGCAGGGAGGAAAGAAAUAAAACUAAUAAUUUUAUUUUGUGACGUUACCUGAAGAAGAAGCACCGGCUAACUCCGUGCCAGCAGCCGCGGUAAUACGGAGGGUGCAAGCGUUAAUCAGAAUUACUGGGCGUAAAGAGCGCGUAGGUGGUUUUUUUAAGUCAGAUGUGAAAUCCCCUAGGCUUAACCUAGGAACUGCAUUUUGAAACUGAAAAACUAGAGUAUCGUAGAGGGAGGUAGAAUUCUAGGUGUAGCGGUGAAAUGCGUAGAUAUCUGGAGGAAUACCUGUGGCGAAAGCGGCCUCCUAAACGAAUACUGACACUGAGGUGCGAAAGCGUGGGGAGCAAACAGGGAUUAGAUACC